GGCGCGCCCGGGCAGUGGGGAGGGGAGACUAUGCCAUCAGCGAAAGGAGGAUUGGCUGCAUCCAAAGCCAGUCCGGAUGCAAACUCACGGCCGGGCCUCGGUCGCGUGGAGUGCAAGGGGAUCGCGGCGUGGGUGGGAGUUGAAGGGGUUGAUGGGGUUGAGGGAGACGUGAGGUCUGGAGGGGGGGGCACCUUCUGCAGUUGUCACCGCGUCAAUGCUGGGCAGCUGCCAGGCCACCCUUCCCCCGCUCCCCUUCCAGCAACUUCUUCCAACAGCCUCUUCCAACGGACCCCCUCACACUCCUCCCUAAUGCCUCGCCCAUCUAGCAGGGCACAAAGAAAUCUCAGUCUCCUUCCAUAAACUUUGUGCUUCCAGUUACCGCUCCCCUCCAGGAGCCCCCGCCCUCCGCCCUUCCAGUUUCUUGGCAGGAAGGUUAGGCCACUGGCAAAGUCCCCGGCGAAAGCCAGCUGAUCACAAACGCCAACUGUGUGUCUUGGGGCCCGUUCAGUCCUCUCAUCUGCCCAGGCUCUCAGGAGACCAUUUCAUUGCUGUCAGAGUUCCCGGGAGACUGCUGCGGACGCGAACCAUCCCCCACUGGGCCCACAAGGAUGGGGUGCUGAGCUGUACUCGUAGCGCUUUUCUGCAUCUUGCUUGAGAGUUUCCAUUGAAACAGUGAAAUCCCGGAAUCGGGAGUCAGGCAGAUAUUUUCCUCACAUCCAAAAGGACGAUGGUUAGCUGGAUGAUUCGCGCUAGGUAGGAAAGGAACUAUGAGCUCUAACACGAAAUACUAACUUUGUGUGAAGUCUGUGGAAGUUCUGCAGUCCCACCCUGCCCCCGUGACCGUCCAUUCUCAUAGUUCUGCCACAGGGAAGCACCGUGGAGCUAAUAAAAGAUGUAUUAUUGUCAUAAUUUUUCAAUCAGCAGCUCCACGCCACAGCUACAUGGCUCCCAAACAAUGAUUAUGAAAACCACAGUUGAGGAAAGCAUCAGGAAACGGCAUUACAAAACCACAGCAACAAAUGUGUCUGCGAUAUUGAAAACCACAAUUCACAACUAAUACCCCGUGUCGCCAAUGACUAUUAACUAUACAUGUGCAAAUGUGGAAUCAAGAUAUUGACCAAGAAAACUCCCAGGCUAAUCUUAUGAGACAUCAAGCUACCUUCUUGAUUAUGAAAAUGCAAUGUGGACAGCUGUCUCAAGCUCUUGGCAGCAGGAUUUCCCACUAAGUUUAAGGAUUUCCCUUGAACUGUGAGCCAAGACAAGGCCUUUCUCCCUGGAUCUGCUUUUUUGGGGGUAUUUGAUCACUGUAACAAGAAUAUAUUUGAAGCAACACUUUCUGUUUGUUUGGUUGAUACUGGCUAAUAUCCAUGAAUAUGCAUUAAAGUCAAAUUUUACUUUCGGUAGACAAAACAAGUUAAAACCGCUCUGUCUGAAGACCUGAGAAGAUGGCUCACUGUGUUAAAGGUUUCAUGGGCAAGCAAGUUUAAGGACUUGAGUGAACAUCCAUAGCGCCCAAAUAAAUGCCAGGGGCCUCAAUGGCUCAGCUGUAUGCCCAGCACUAAUGGGCACAGAGGGAUGUCUAGAGAAAGCUGGAUAGAUAGACUAGCUGAGUGGACAAGCUCUGUGUUUAAGAAGAUCCUGCUUCAAUAUGCAAAGUGGAGAGAAAACAAGGAAGAUACCAAUAUCAACCUCUAACUAUCAAAUCUCCCCAUGCACAUGUGUCCAUACCCACAUGAAUACACACGUGCACAAUCACAGAUACCACACACAUUUGAAGCAAUAAAUGAAUCAAUGAUCAAAUAAAUAAAUGAAAUUCUCUAUGUUAGGUGCAGUGGCUUGCAAAGAACACCAAUUGCUCAUAAAAAUGAAAAAUAGAAAGCAUAUGUGUUUUCACCUGUAAACACCAGCUUCUCUCCGUAUCAUGUGAUGACUUGGCAUCUGUGUGAGGAGAUACACUUUGAUGAUUCUAAAACACAUGGGAACUCCAAUGCCACGGCUGGUCCCCAGUUUCCGUAUCUAUUCUGCCUUCCUAGGAAACCACACCUGAAUGGUACCAACCAAAAUGACAAAAACUGCAUCACCCUGGAAAUAAAGGCUAGCUGUCAUGAUUCUCUUGCUUACUGCUCUCUCUGACCCAACGAACUUACAUUUGUUCAGGGAGAAAAGGAGUGUUCAGAAUGACAAAAUGCAUGCACUUCCCAUGCAUGUACUGUCGCUGGAGAUGCACUACCUCUAUGUCUGCUGUGUAGAAAGUCAAUGGCAGUCUCCUUCUAUCACGCAUGCUUCUACAAUAUGGAGCAGUUACAGAACCUUAAGAAAAUGGAGAGUGUCUGGACAUGCAAACAGAAACCGGAUUUCUAGUUGGGAUGCCUCUACCUAGAUAACUCCGUUGGUCCCUUUGCCUUCUUCUCAUUGCAGUCCCUACGACUCCGUGAGUUCUAAAAUAGAAUAAAACUUUCUAAUAUGGUAUCAGAGGAACAUGGGACAGCUGUUCCACACAACCGUCAAAAGAUCAAAUCUUGCCAGCGCCAUGACUCCGGCUCUCCAGCACACCGUGCCUCUUUAAUGUCUCUUACUGAAGCUGGAACUCACACUGUAGGCUGGACUGACUGGUCAGUGAACUCCAGGAAUCCUGUUGAUUCUGUCCCAUCUGCAUUAAGAUGAUGUGCACAGCUGCUUCUAGCCACCAUGAUGCACCUUGAACUGUGAGCCAAGCAAACCCUUCUCCAUCAAAGUUGCUUUACUCAGAGCAUUUUAUAAAUACACCAAGAAAAGAAGCUACGAUUGCUUUACUGCAAUUUUUGCAUUUGCAAGGUAUUCGUGUUGGCUAUAGAACAUAGAUUGUGAUCCAUUCAGAAUCUCUCUGGAGUUCUUAAUUGUUCAUAUACACUUAGAGUCCAUAUACUGUCCAGAAAUCUUGGAUUUGCAUAGGCUGUUAAAUAGUCAACCCAUUCAUGUAAAAAUUUAAUAUCUGUGGUAGUUUGAAGAGGAAUGUCUUCAAAAGGCUCAUGUAUUUGCUUAGUCAUCAGGAAGUGGCAAUAUUUGGGAGGGAUU